GAUGAACGCUGGCGGCGUGCCUAAUACAUGCAAGUCGAGCGAACAGACGAGGAGCUUGCUCCUCUGACGUUAGCGGCGGACGGGUGAGUAACACGUGGAUAACCUACCUAUAAGACUAGGAUAACUUCGGGAAACCGGAGCUAAUACCGGAUAAUAUAUUGAACCUCAUGGUUCAAUAGUGAAAGACGGUUUUGCUGUCACUUAUAGAUGGAUCCGCGCCGCAUUAGCUAGUUGGUAAGGUAACGGCUUACCAAGGCAACGAUGCGUAGCCGACCUGAGAGGGUGAUCGGCCACACUGGAACUGAGACACGGUCCAGACUCCUACGGGAGGCAGCAGUAGGGAAUCUUCCGCAAUGGGCGAAAGCCUGACGGAGCAACGCCGCGUGAGUGAUGAAGGUCUUCGGAUCGUAAAACUCUGUUAUUAGGGAAGAACAAAUGUGUAAGUAACUAUGCACGUCUUGACGGUACCUAAUCAGAAAGCCACGGCUAACUACGUG
rnacentral:rRNA from 1 species